CCUACGGGUGGCUGCAGUGGGGAAUAUUGGACAAUGGGCGAAAGCCUGAUCCAGCCAUGCCGCGUGUGUGAAGAAGGCCUUCGGGUUGUAAAGCACUUUCAGUGGGGAAGAAAGCCUUGGGGCUAAUACCCUCGAGGAAGGACAUCACCCACAGAAGAAGCACCGGCUAACUCCGUGCCAGCAGCCGCGGUAAUACGGAGGGUGCGAGCGUUAAUCGGAAUUACUGGGCGUAAAGCGCGCGUAGGCGGUCUGAUAAGCCGGUUGUGAAAGCCCCUGGCUCAACCUGGGAACGGCAUCCGGAACUGUCAGGCUAGAGUGCAGGAGAGGAAGGUAGAAUUCCCGGUGUAGCGGUGAAAUGCGUAGAGAUCGGGAGGAAUACCAGUGGCGAAGGCGGCCUUCUGGACUGACACUGACGCUGAGGUGCGAAAGCGUGGGUAGCAAACAGGAUUAGAUACCCGAGUAGUC
rnacentral:rRNA from 1 species